rnacentral:lncRNA from 1 species
AAAAAAGCGAAAGCAAACUCAAAGGUGCUUCCCCAGAAAUACCAGAAAUACAGAAAGUAAGAGAAUUCUGAUGGUGUGGACUUGACAUAUGUAAAGAAGUAGGGGGACAGCUUGCACAGGUGAUUUCCAAGGGCAUGAAAUAUUUCUUCUACAGUUAGUUAUAAGUUCUGCUAUAUCCCUACAGGAGGAAUUAAGCAUGUGGAAGGGAAAGAAAGCUCCAGCUGCCCUGGUUCAUAUGAGCAACAGGACCCAAUCUUUUCAGCUGGGUAAAAUGAAAAUCAGCAGGAGCUGCAUCUUUAUUCUGAUACCUGCUGAUCUCCCACUCAUGAUGUAAUAGUACAGUAACUUUUUUCUCCUGAAACCUUGCUAAAAUCAUUUAUCAGUUCUGUUAGCCCUUUGGCAGAGUCUUUCGGGCUUUCCAUUAUAGAAUCAUGUUGUCAGUGAAGAGAGAGAGUUUGACUUCUUUUCCUAGUUGGAUGCCUUUUAUUUCUUUCUCUUGCCUGAUUGCUCUGGCCAGGACUUUCAAUAGUAUAUUGAAUGAUAUAGUAUAGGAGUGAUGAGAGUGGACAUCCUUGUCUUGUUCCAGUUCUCAAGGGGAAUGGUUCUGGCUUUUGCCUGUUCUGUAAGAUGCUAGCUGUGGGUUUGUCAUAGAUGGC